CUGACAUCCUACUCAGAGCAUAUAUUGUUUUUUAAAAGUGCUGAAUAAAUGAAUCAUUAAUGUGUGAAAGAAGAGAGAGUAACAGAGUUAUAUUUCUAGGUAAUGAAAGUGCCCGCAACGAAAAUAUGUUGUAUAACAUACCCUUCCGCAAUAAGCUUCCUACUCGACUCCAAGUUGAAAAGGAAUUUGGUUUCUGAUGCAGGAAAGAUUACUAAAGAAGGUUAUUAUAAUGAAACCCAAAAAUAUGCAGACACUGUGCUUUCUGAAUGAAGCAAGCUUGCAUUAUGGAUUGCCUGCUGUCUUCAGGGAAAAUACUAUACUAUGAAUGCAGAAGCAAAUCUCUGGAUUUCACAGUUGUUUAUUGCCACAAUUUAUUGCAUUAACUUGCUUCAGAUAGGUAUAUUAAGAUUCAAAUUGAAUGCCAUAGAGCAAUUGCAUUCUUUGACAAUUCUUGCAUUUCACUAUGCAUUUUGCCACUGAAGCAGCUGUUUCCCAUUUUAACAAUUAAAGGAAAACAAGAACAGAGAAGUGAAAUGCUCUGUAACAAAGUUAUUACACCUGUUUGAAGCACUAACCUUAACAGUUUACUCCUCUGUCCUUAGAAUGAACGUGAAAAUACAGAUUUGUUUCAUACAUACUUGCCUUUUAAGUGGCUGGUCCAUAUCCUAAAUUUCUGACAUUCAAAGCUAUAAUUAUUAUCAUCACAUCAUGUUUUCAAAAACCUUCCUUAGUGACUAUUUGCAUAUAACCUUGAGAAUAUUAUUUUUUUAACUUUCUAUAUCUCAAAUUAAUAUACAUUUCCACAACCUACAUUCUUUAUUAAAGGGCUUACAAUUUCAGCAACCUAUGUCUUAGAAACAACUUACUAGCUUAGAAUAGAACAGAGUUUUAUCAUUCUAUGAUUUUCCAUGUAUGGUUCCUGCAAAUAAAAUGAAUGUUUAAAACUAUGUCUGUCUUUCCAAAAUAAAUGUAUAAUAAUUAACCACUAAAUUCUUCUGCUCACCAGUUUAUAAAAGGAAGGCUCCUGAAAAAAAUUUUAGCUCAUUAAUUUCACUGCAUAAGCCCCACAAAGUAAACACACAAAUGAUUCUUUUCCUCACUUCUAAACAGUGAUAGGAAUAUCUAUUUAAAGUGAUUCUGCAAAACACUGAUCACAGGUUUCUCAUGACUAUUAACAUUCUCAAAUAAGCUCAAGUUUUAAAAAAUAGUACAGAUGUUUGGUUCAUCCCUAACAGAUGAUGCUUUGAUUAUGACACUUGGAAAUCUAGUCUGUAG
rnacentral:lncRNA from 1 species